AUUGAACGCUGGCGGCAUGCCUUACACAUGCAAGUCGAACGGUAACAGGUCUUCGGAUGCUGACGAGUGGCGAACGGGUGAGUAAUACAUCGGAACGUGCCCGAUCGUGGGGGAUAACGGAGCGAAAGCUUUGCUAAUACCGCAUACGAGCUACGGCUGAAAGCAGGGGACCGCAAGGCCUUGCGCGGACGGAGCGGCCGAUGGCAGAUUAGGUAGUUGGUGGGAUAAAAGCUUACCAAGCCGACGAUCUGUAGCUGGUCUGAGAGGACGACCAGCCACACUGGGACUGAGACACGGCCCAGACUCCUACGGGAGGCAGCAGUGGGGAAUUUUGGACAACGGGCGAAAGCCUGAUCCAGCCAUGCCGCGUGCAGGAUGAAGGCCUUCGGGUUGUAAACUGCUUUUGUACGGAACGAAAAGCCUCUUUCUAAUAAAGAGAGGUCAUGACGGUACCGUAAGAAUAAGCACCGGCUAACUACGUGCCAGCAGCCGCCGUAACAC
rnacentral:rRNA from 1 species